rnacentral:rRNA from 1 species
UACGUAGGGUGCAAGCGUUGUCCGGAAUUACUGGGCGUAAAGAGCUCGUAGGUGGUUUGUCGCGUUGUCCGUGAAAACUCACAGCUCAACUGUGGGCGUGCGGGCGAUACGGGCAGACUGGAGUACUGCAGGGGAGACUGGAAUUCCUGGUGUAGCGGUGGAAUGCGCAGAUAUCAGGAGGAACACCGGUGGCGAAGGCGGGGUCUCUGGGCAGUAACUGACGCUGGAGGAGCGAAAGCGUGGGGAGCGAACAGG